UGCAAGUCGAACGAUGAAGAAAAGGAUUGAAGCUUCGGCAGAAAUUCAUUUCGGAUUAGUGGCAGACGGGUGAGUAACGCGUGAGCAACCUACCUCUUACAAAGGGAUAGCCUCGGGAAACCGGGAUUAAUACCAUAUAACAUUGCGACGAAGCAUUUCGAUGCAAUCAAAGCUACGGCGGUAAGAGAUGGGCUCGCGUCCCAUUAACCAGAUGGUGAGGUAACGGCUCACCAUAGUAACGAUGGGUAACCGGCCUGAGAGGGUGAACGGUCACACUGGAACUGAGACACGGUCCAGACUCCUACGGGAGGCAGCAGUGGGGAAUAUUGCACAAUGGAGGGAACUCUGAUGCAGCGACGCCGCGUGAGUGAUGAAGGAAUUCGUUUCGUAAAACUCUGUUCUAUGGGAAGAAAAGGACUGUACCAUAGGAGAAAGCUCCGGCUAAAUACGUGCCAGCAGCCGCGGUAAUACGUAUGGAGCGAGCGUUGUCCGGAAUUAUUGGGCGUAAAGGGUGCGCAGGCGGCUUUACAAGUUGGAUGUGAAAUAUUGUGGCUCAACCACAAACGUGCAUCCAAAACUGCAAAGCUUGAGUUAAGGAGAGGUAAGUGGAAUUCCUGGUGUAGCGGUGGAAUGCGUAGAUAUCAGGAGGAAUACCGGUGGCGAA
rnacentral:rRNA from 1 species